rnacentral:rRNA from 1 species
AUUGAACGCUGGCGGCAGGCUUAACACAUGCAAGUCGAGCGGUAACAGAGAGUAGCUUGCUACUUUGCUGACGAGCGGCGGACGGGUGAGUAACGCGUAGAAAUCUGCCUGAUAGUGGGGGAUAGCCCAGAGAAAUUUGGAUUAAUACCGCAUACGCCCUACGGGGGAAAGAAGGGGACCUUCGGGCCUUUUGCUAUCAGAUGAGUCUGCGUCGGAUUAGCUAGUUGGUGAGGUAAUGGCUCACCAAGGCGACGAUCCGUAGCUGGUCUGANANGAUGAUCAGCCACACUGGGACUGAGACACGGCCCANACUCCUACNGGAGGCAGCNGUGGGGAAUAUUGCACAAUGGGCGCAAGCCUGAUGCAGCCAUGCCGCGUGUGUGAAGAAGGCCUU